rnacentral:lncRNA from 1 species
UAAAUUUAAAUUUAAUAUAAUAAUAUAUUAAUAUAAAUAAUAUUAUAUAUAAUUAAUAAUAUAUAUGAUUUCGUUUAAAAUUGUAACCGUGGUAUAAAAAUCGUAAAUUGAAUUGUUAGUCUACAUUUUAUAAAUUUAUAAUCACCGAACCGUUCUAAUUAGAAGCCAAAUUGAACCUACAGAUUGGUUUGGAUUGGAGGAUUUUACCGUUUGAUCGGUAUUUUCGCGCACCCUAUCACCAAUUGCUGCGAUAUGUAAUUCCUCCAUAUUACGUUUUCCCACCAGUCAUACUUUAUGAUAUAAGGUUGUACAAUGAGGCUUAAGAUUAACCAUCAUUGUCUUAUUCAAUGUCACCUUAAAUAAACUUAGUAUAUGUGGGCCCAUAAUACUUGUAAUACAAUUCUUUUAGGCUAGUAUUUAUUAUAUGUUUCAUAUGAUAUAUUUCGUAUUAUAUAUUACAUCUCUCUUUACCUUUAUAUUUCUUCUUUUAGGCUAGUAUUUAUAAUAUGAGAGGGAGAGAACAACAAAUGAUGGAGAUACACAGCGGAAAUCAAUAAUUUUAAUAAAUAAUGGCACGUGAAGUCCAUACUAAAAAAUACUAUAUUUAAUUUCUGUGUAAAAUUAUUGGAAAAAUGUUUUAAUGAAUUUUUACAUAAUAAAAUAGGACGAGUUUUCAAAAUGUCUGCAAGAGGACUGUGUUUUAAGGAUUUGGAUCCUUUGUAGUAAUUGUUAGGUAAAGUGGUCUGAAGUAUAUAAAAUUGUGUAUUUUAGAACCAAAACGAUGACGUUUUAUUUGUUAUCUAUAAAACAACGUCAUUUUGUACAUUUGACCACUCCACCUAACAUCUCGUUUUGUGCAUUUUAGAUCUAAAACAAUGACGUUUUAUUUGUUAUCCAUAAAAUAACGUCAUUUUGUACACUUGACUACUCCACCUAACAUCUCAUUUUGUGCAUUUUAAAUCCAAAACGACGACGUUUUAUUUGUUAUGCAUAAAACAACGUGAUUUUGUGCACCUCCACUUUACUUAACAUCUAUUUUAGAGGAUCCGAACUCGUGUUUUAAAGGCUGAGAUUGAGUUGAGCUUAAAUCCCACUUUCAAGAUUCAUUCUCAUCAUUCCACUCCCCACCUAAAUGUGUCAGAUCAGGCCAUGCAUCUCAUCCGUUGGAAUAAAAUUGUUGCCAAUUUUCAGCCAUUAGAUCAAAACAUGUUGCUGGGUUUUGGUACCCAUGAGGCAUGAUUCCAUGACCACACACGCUCUGCUCUCUCUUCCUCUCUCACUCUUACUACCUCAGGUUAUCUCCCCACACCCAUCUCUACAACUCUCUCUCUCUCUCUCUCUCUUACAAUUAAAAAAUGUAAUAAUAUUUAAUUUAGAAAAAAAUACUUUACAACCAAAAAAUAGCUAAUUUGUUAAGUAAAUAUAAAUUUUUUAUUUUUUAAAAUUAAAUAAAUUUUAUUUAUCGUUAAGAGAAAUUAGAAAAAUUCAAAAUUUUGAUCCAACCAUUAAAAUAAUCCGCUAAGUAUAAAAAAACUCAAAAAUUAAAGCAAUAAAAAAAAAUAAGUCAAACUUAGCCUUAAUACAAACCGUUCCAUUACAACAAAUAUAUAUAUAUAUAUUAUAUAUAUAUAUAUAUAUAUAAACAGACAAUGCCAUCCUCAAAAAUUAUUGAAAAUGACAAAAAAAUCUAACUUAUUAUGAUAUUGAACGUAGAGAAUUGGGAAUAGUCACAAUCUCUAUAAUUAUUUGAAAAUGACGUGAGAAUAAUCUCACUAGAGUGCUCUAAUUCUCCCAGGACCUCUUAUAUCUAGCGGUGUAAUUUGCUAGUGGGCCCAGUGGCCCACUGAAUUUAAUGUUUCCAUAAUAAUAGAAAUUACAAAAUAAAACCUAAUAUUUUGCUCUAAUAACAAAUUCAACCCUAUAUUCUCAAUACUUUAUCCACAUCCAAUUUAGACGAUUAGGAUGUUGCCGUAAAAAACACAUUUGAUUUUACUUAUUAGGCUGGGCACACACAUAUAUAUACCUAAACAAAGUUAAGUUGAAAAAAUGGUUUUUUCCGUCUGGAAUACAGAAUAUUUUUAAAAAAUCAUUUUAACGUAAUAAAAACUAUUACCCCAAACAAGGCUCUAGUGUUGCAUUUUAUUCCGGAAACUACGUAACAUUUUUGUGGGAAUUUCUAAACUUUAGAGGCUAAACUGCACACGACCAAAACCAUAGUGGGGCGAAGUAAAGUUUACCUUCAAUAUAAUCUAAUCGUAAUGGAGCAGAACACAACACACUACCUUCACCAUAACAAUGGAGUUCCGCCACCACCACCACCACACAAGCAGAAGAGAAGAUCACAUAGGUAUGUUCCCACGGCGGGCAUUCGGCCACAUGAUCCAUUCCUCGAGCUCUCCAGGCUCAUGCCGAGAGUCCACAUAGUGAGUUCCAUGGCUGCAUUCGGCCACAUGAUCCCAUUCCUUUACGAGCUCUCCAGGCCUCAUUGCCCAAAAAGGUCAUAAAAUCUCCUUCGUCUCCACCCCUAAAAAAACAUCGUCGCCUCCCUAAAUUCCCCCAAUUUAUCUUCCCUCAUAAAAAUUCGUGAAAAUUCCUCUCCCCACACCGAAAACCUCCCCGAAGCUGCCGAGGCCACCAUGGAUA